UACGAAGGGGGCUAGCGUUGUUCGGAAUUACUGGGCGUAAAGCGCGCGCAGGCGGCCUUUCAAGUCAGGGGUGAAAGCCCGGAGCUCAACUCCGGAAUUGCCUUUGAAACUGUCAGGCUCGAGUACGGGAGAGGGAAGUGGAAUUCCCGGUGUAGUGGUGAAAUGCGUAGAUAUCGGGAGGAACACCAGUGGCGAAGGCGACUUCCUGGCCUGUUCUUGACGCUGAGGCGCGAAAGCUAGGGUAGCAAACGGG
rnacentral:rRNA from 1 species